AUUGAACGCUGGCGGCAGGCCUAACACAUGCAAGUCGAACGAGUGGCGGACGGGUGAGUAAUGUCUGGGAAACUGCCCGAUGGAGGGGGAUAACUACUGGAAACGGUAGCUAAUACCGCAUACCAUCGGAUUUGCCCAGAUGGGAUUUGCUAGUAGUUGGGGUAACGGCUCACCUAGGCUACGAUCCCUAUCUUGGAUGAGCGGAUGACAGGCCACACUGGAACGUAGACACGGUCCAGACUACUACGGGAGGCAGCAGUGGAGUAUAUUGCACAAUGGGAGCAAGCCUGAUGCAGCCAUGCCGAGUGUCUGAAGAAGGCAUUCGGGUUUUAAAGUUCUUUCAGCGAGGAGGCGUUACUCGCAGAAGAAGCACCGGCUAACUCCGUGCCAGCAGCCGCGGUAAUUC
rnacentral:rRNA from 1 species